GUCACCGACCCACCGUUAAUUGCUCCGCAAUUUAACGGGGGCUUGAAAAAGUCCGCAAGGUGACCAGCUUACUGAAAACUUCAGUAAACGUUAUUUAACUUAUGACACCUUAAGGUACGUGCCAGCUUUAAGCUCUGUCGUUUAAUUUUAAACAGGACUAAACGGGUUAAUCCAGUGAAUUAGACCGAACAAAGUUAGAUAACCAAGCGAGGCAAACAUUAC
rfam:Xenococcus sp. PCC 7305 scaffold_00225, whole genome shotgun sequence.